GGCCUUAUCGUCUAGUGGCCUAGGACAUCGCCCUCUCACGGCGAAGACAGGGGUUCGACUCCCCUUAAGGCUA
rnacentral:tRNA from 7 species